UACGGAGGGUGCAAGCGUUAUCCGGAUUUACUGGGUUUAAAGGGUGCGUAGGUGGGUCUGUAAGUCAGUGGUGAAAUCUCCGAGCUUAACUCGGAAACUGCCAUUGAUACUAUAGGUCUUGAAUUAUCUGGAGGUAAGCGGAAUAUGUCAUGUAGCGGUGAAAUGCUUAGAUAUGUCAUAGAACACCGAUUGCGAAGGCAGCUCACAAAGCCAUUAUUGACGCUGAGGCACGAAAGUGCGGGGAUCAAACAGG
rnacentral:rRNA from 1 species